CCAUAUAUUCAUUAAUCAACUUGUCUCAUAGAGUGUAAUAGCCACUCUAAUUAUUUUUUUCAAAGUGUUCUCAGCUGUUCUUAUUUGUGUUUUCAUCUAUAGGAGUUCUGCAAUAAAAUGCCUGCUUUCUCCACCAGAUGGUAUGUCUAUUGGGACAAAAUUAAAUUUUUGAACUACUUGUAACAAAUUGAUGAUUGAGUAAUAUUGAGUUUUUCUAUCUUAGAACAUGAUGUGGUUUUCCACUUUUUUAUGCUGAUUUUCUCAUAUUUCAAAAACUUUUUAUGAUCUUUCUCAUACUUUUUACAAAUUUUUGUUAGAUUUAUGUAUGGCUAGUUUAUUUUACUUUGUACUGUUAAAAAGUAAACUGUAGCACAAUACAAAUUUUAAAAGUUUUAUUGGCUGGGAAUGAUGGCUUAUAUCUGUGAUUCCAGCACUUUGAGAGGCCAAGGUGAGAGAUUACUUGAGCCCAGGAGUUUGAGGCCAGCCUGGGAAACAUAGUAAGACCCUAUCUCUAUGAAAAAAUAAGAAGAAAUUAGCUGGGUGUAGAGGUCCAUUCCUGUACUUGUAGCUACUCAUGGGGUAAGGUGGGAGGAUGGCUUGAGCUCAGGAUGUAAGGCUUCAGAGAGCUCCGAUUCUGUCUAUGCAUUCCAGCAUGGGCGACAGAGCAGGAAUCUGUUUCAAAAAACAUUUUCUUGAGUAGGAAGCAACUAAUGAAUUGUGGAACAUGAGACCAAAAAAGGUUUAGCAUUUAAAUGACAAAGUGUCAGAGGUAAGAUUGUAUUGAAAAUAUGCAGAAGGAAAAUAUUAAAGUUAUUUGAUUAGUUGCAGUUAAAAAACUGUCUUUUUUGGUUUACCUUAUAGACAUAUAUUACUAUACCUUCUUGGGUACUUCUGAUAAACUUAAGUUCUGUUAUUGUUGAUUUUUAAUACAGGUAUUCACAAAAAUAGCUCACAUUAUGUUUUGCUUGUUUGCAAGUCAACAAGAUGAGGUCACCGAAAAGGUCUAACUGAUUCUGUCUGCUCAGGAAUGUUUCAGGCUUGGUCUCCCUUUUAAUUUACCUCGUAAAUCAUUUUGUAAUUUUUAUCUCCUACCCAUUCUGUAACUUGUUAAUUACUUUUAUACACAUGUAAUAUCUUUUAUGUGUGAUUUCUAAGUAUAUUACUAGUGAACAUUGACUGUUACAAGGCAUACCUUGUCUUAUUGCAAUUUAUUGUGCUUCCCAAGUGUUGGAUUUCUUACAAAUUGAGGGGUUUUGGCAACCUUACCUUCAGUGACUCUGUCAACAAUAUUUUUUCCAACACCAUGUGAUCUGUGUGUGUGUGUGUAUCUUUGUCAGCAUUUUUAUCAAUAAAGUACAUUUUUUAUUAAGGUAUAUA
rnacentral:lncRNA from 10 species